AGCUCCCCCUCUAGUGUUCACUGCUCAUCAAAUGAUUCCUCCAACAAAUAGAGAGCUGCUCGGUUUUUGGUUCCCCAUAGAAGGACAUAGCUCGGAGCGACAUUUCUAAGUGUUUGAUGGCACAAAGAGGAAAAGGAAACACAAUUCAAAAAUGUUAAGAGAAAAAAGGCUUGAUUCCAUGGUCAUCCAUUUUAAAAUUGAAGAUGGCUCCAGUAUUGCAAAAGACUCUGAAACAUGAAAUUAACACGGUGUCUCCGAGGGACCUGCAUUGUGCCAUGAAUGAACUGACCAUCUCUCAAACUGGCUAAUCGCCACCCCUGAAAACCCAUGUCUGAAGAGAUAUCUUUCCAGAAUCUAUACUUCACAGAAGGAAGUUGACUAAGUACAAGUUGGAAAAAGAAAAAAAAGGAAAAAGCAGCAUAGUGCCCCUCACCUCACUAAAUAUCAAGGUGGAGAAACUAAGGCUUCAAAAAAAGUCAAAAACAAAAAACAAUGAUGGAGUAGCCAGCUCUCUUGGGAGACCUCUGAUUGUGUCUCUGGUCAAAACCAACCUCCCUCAUUUCUGGUCAGAGAACUGAUGUGGGAUUAUGCCAGCUGCUGAAUAUCUCUACUCCAAUUGUGCGUUCUGGAGGUGGAGAAAUAACCAAAGUUGGAUCUGAG
ensembl:lncRNA